rfam:Penicillium polonicum strain IBT 4502 PENPOL_contig001, whole genome shotgun sequence.
GCAAGUGUGGCCGAGCGGUUAAGGCGUCGUGUUUAGGUCAUCAUCUAUAUGAUUACAGAUCCGCGAUUCUCAGGAGCGUGAGUUCGAAUCUCACCGCUUGCA